rnacentral:lncRNA from 1 species
UGAAACUCAUCAGGAGGGAAUGCUGGCAAGAAUCAGCUAACACAGUAGCAGCAAGCUUUCAGUGACAGCGUUAAGGAAGGGUGACGAUUCAGGCUGGGAGCAGGUGUAUGGGAACUGUAUAAUCACAGCCUGACCCCCUGUUUGACUACCUGAGGCGAGUGCUGAGUCAGCUGCAGGGGCACAGGUGAUGGCAGUUUGACCUGAGUGACCGUAAGGGGUGGACCCUGGCUGCAGCCCUGCUAGACCCCAUGUAAGGGCUGACUCCCAAGGAGGAAGGAUCUCUAUCUGGAGGUCACCCUUAGUGGAGCCCUUCUGCGCGCCCAGGGUACGGUUCCAAGCAGGUGGACUCUCAGUGUCUUGCAAGUGACAGCUAGCAGCAGCAGGUCCAGCCAGGAGGCACAGCACCCUGCAACCUCCAGG